CCUACGGGAGGCAGCAGUGAGGAAUAUUGCUCAAUGGGCGAGAUCCUGAACCAGCAAAGCCGCGUGAGGGAAGACGGCCCUAGGGGUUGUAAACCUCUUUUGUCGGGGAACAAAACCCGGGACGUGUCCCGGACUGCGUGUCUCCGAAGAAAAAGCAUCGACAAACUCCGAGCCAGCAGCCGCGGUAAUACUGAGGAUGCAAGCGUUAUCCGGAGUUAUUGGGUGUAAAGGGUACGUAGGCGGGCCUGUAAGUGCGCGGUAAAAUUUAGGGGCUUAACCCUGUCGAGCCGUGGAAACUGGGAGACUUGAGUGGGGGAGAAGAAAGCGGAAUGUGCGGUGUAGCGGUGAAAUGCAUAGAUA
rnacentral:rRNA from 1 species